ACAAUUGUAAACCACUAUUAAAGAUAUUUUUUGAAAGAGUGUGACAUGUGUCAAGUUUUAUCAAGGGAACAUGAGUUUUAUCUAUAAAUAUAUUAGUUAAAUGGUCUAGAGAGAAAUGCAUUUCAUCUUCUUCUUUCUUUUGAAAACGCUAUUGUGGCUUUCUUUGGAAGCCAUUUAUAGUUUGCUACCCUUAGGCUGGAACUAAAGAUCGGAUCUAUAGCAGAAGAUUUCAUCAUAGCCUGGUAAGUAUUUCAGUUAUGUAUGAGGAAUCUCGAAGAGUAGGUCUGUCAACUUUGGUGAACAAUAAGAUUAAAGAAAAAUGGGCAUUGUAUGGGGUUUUCAAUGUUUGAGAAGAAGAUGGUAAUAUGUAUGUGAAUGAGUUUUGAUGAUGUUUCUAUGUUCUUUGAGCAGCGGUCAAUUGCAAGUCAGGUGUUUGGAUCUGGCGUUCAAGCUACUGGCAGUUAUUGCUAACCAGACUGGCAAGUCAAAGUAUGAACGAAACGAAAGACCAUGCGGUUUUGACCCAUAGCAUCCUACAACAAGAAAACACUCAUAGCAUAUCUUUCAACAAAGUAAUGACUGAAUUGGCCAAUCGCGAUGCAUGAUGUGUGCUCAAGUCCAUGAGGAUGAGUCUCAUGGUAGCAAAGAAUAUGAAUUGAUAUGAUAGAAAUGAUUCAUGGCGUAGCCUUUAACAUAAGAAUCGAAAUAGCAUAUCGCGAUACAUGAACGAAAACGUAAGACCAUGUGGUUUCAACCCAUGGCAGUAUAAUAAUUGAGGUUAUUAAUUGACCAUAAGUAUAUGACCUUGUACGGUAUGUUCUAUUUGCUUGAAUGGUGAGAUCUAUCAUAAAUGUCUGAUAAGGUUUGUAUACUUGUAAUUUUGAUAAGAUAUGAAUGAGUCAGAUAAUUUUGUGAUAA